UCACGGUUUGCACCGGCAGUCUGGCUAGAGUUCCCGACUUGACUCGCUGGCAACUAACCACAGGGGUUGCGCUCGUUAUAGGACUUAACCUGACACCUCACGGCACGAGCUGACGACAACCAUGCAGCACCUUGUAAUCUGUCCGAAGAAAUAUCUGUUUCCAAAUACGUCAGACUACAUUUAAGCCCUGGUAAGGUUCCUCGCGUAUCAUCGAAUUAAACCACAUGCUCCACCGCUUGUGCGGGCCCCCGUCAAUUCCUUUGAGUUUCAUUCUUGCGAACGUACUCCCCAGGUGGGAUACUUAUCACUUUCGCUUAGCCACUGAGCAUUGCUGCCCAACAGCUAGUAUCCAUCGUUUACGGCGUGGACUAC
rnacentral:misc_RNA from 1 species